rnacentral:rRNA from 1 species
UAGGCAUGCAAGUCGAGCGCUCAUCAGCAAUGGUGGGAGCGGCGAACGGCGUAGUAAGACGUAGGAACGUACCCUUCGGCCGGGGAUAGCUACGGGAAACUGUAGGUAAUACCCGAUGAUCUCUGCGGAGCAAAGGUGUGAUUCCGCCGGGGGAGCGGCUUACGCGAUAUUAGCUAGUUGGUGGGGUAAUGGCCUACCAAGGCGAUGAUGUCUAGGGGGUGUGAGAGCAUGGCCCCCACGACCGGAACUGAGAUACUGUCCGGACACCUACGGGUGGCUGCAGUCGAGAAUCUUCCGCAAUGGACGAAAGUCUGACGGAGCGACGCCGCGUGCGGGAUGAAGGCCCUUGGGUUGUAAACCGCUGUCAGAGGGGAUGAAAUCUCCGGAGGUUAUCCUCCGGAGUGACAGAGC